rnacentral:rRNA from 8 species
UGGUCAAGCUAAUAAGGGCUAACGGUGGAU